rnacentral:lncRNA from 1 species
AUAACCUGCAAGUAUCUGAGGACAAGAACAAUUCUUUUCACAUUUAUAUUCUUUAUAAUUAUUUUUAACUUUUAAUACUGCUCUCCAGUAAUUAUUUGAAGCAUCAGUUUGAAGGAUAAAGAAAUCUUCUUCUUGUGGAAUUAUAAGUUUGGGCAAUACCUUUAAUUCUUCUUUUACUUUCCUUAUAUUUUCACAAUCUUAUUUUUCUCAAGACCAUAUUAUAUUUUUUCUUAACUUUGGAAGAAAAUAAUUUUUUAGUUUCACAAUUUUCAAUGAAUCUUUCAG